UUCAACUAUCUGAGCCAUGAAUUCUAGUCCUCC
rnacentral:sRNA from 1 species